GCUGUCAUGGAGUGUCUUGUGAUUCUUUGGAGGACUGCCUCUCAGUUCCUUUGACAGGGUGGAUACUCUCUAUUCUUAAUCACUUGCAGUCUUCCUCAAGGCCUCUGGAUGCUGGUGGGCAGAUCUGAGCAUUCCUGCUGGAUCCGCCCAUGCCUCCAGGCCUUCCUCUUCAGCAGUCCCACUCAGGCUGAGUCAGCCCAACUUGUUCCUGUGGAGCCCACAUCCUCCCCUCUGAUAGCUCACACAGCCUUGAGUACAGGUCAUUCCCAUCUCACCCACCGCUCCUUGCUCUGUUGUCCCAGGACAAUGGGUUAGCCUAAUGCCUUUCUUUUCAGGAACAAGACUGCUUUUAUUCUCCUUAUCUGUCAAAUUUCAGGGACCACAGAACAAGUUAUUCAAAGUUGUCCUAUUCCACGGCCUGAGAGGGGAGGGAGGUAUUCCAUAUUCUCUCCCUUGGGAGAGGGAAAAUAAUGCACCGCACCCUGACAGUCUCUGCAAAGGAAUCCUCAACCUGCCUCAGUCAAACUCUCUAAAACUUGUGUAUUACCUCAUCUUCUUCAUUCAUUUAGCCUGGGGGGGGGUGAUGGCUGAGGCCAGCGAAAUCUGCUUUAAAAUUACCAAGGCCUCCCUGCAGAUGUGGCCCAACUCUUUGCUUUAAUACAUGAAAGUAUUUAUAUUUUCUCUAUUUUUUCCCUUUCUUUCUUCUUCCUUUCUUCCUUUCUUCCUUUCUCUUUCUUUCUUUCUCUCUCUCUUCCCUCCUUCCUUUCUUCCCUCUCUCCUUCCUUCCUUCCUUCUUUCGUUCCUUUCUUUCUUUCUUUCUUUCUUUCUUUUUCUUUCUUUCUUAUUGAAUCCUCAUCUGAAGCUCCGAGCGAACAGAAAAUGUUAUGUUUAACAUUCUGUUCCAUUGUCCAGAGGUAUUUCAAUAUGGGUCUACAUUUCAUAAAGUCCAAAGUCAAGCCUCCUUUCUGGGGAGGCCCUAGAAGAGAUGGGAUGCUCCUUUCCUACAUAAUUAAAAUUUACCUCCUAAGUUCUGAUGGUGUGUCUGUGGAUCUGCUUCUUCCUCAGUGAUUCACACGAGGAGAACCUUCUGUCCUGGGAGACUUUAGUGCCUUUCUUUCUGCAUCAGUCUUUCCUUUAAAGUCUCAGAGGACAAUGGUAUCAGAGUACAUUGUGACAAAGCUCACAGGCAUGCAAAAGCGUAAUAACAACUGGUUCCCUUUUUAGAAUUCUUUCUUUCUUGCCUGGCUUGUUCAUCUUCAUGAUGUUUGGCUAUGGUGAAGGCUAUAUAGUAUGUUGUCUCAGAAUAACAUGAACAAAGCUAACUGGUUCACAGGAGGAUUACAGCUGGCCUCAUAAUUCUCUAGCAAUGGAGCCAGCCAGAGACAGCCUCCUCAUAAGGGAAUACAUUAUCCUUACUUCAUAGUUGGAUUUAAGACAAAACAAAUAUUUAAAAAAUCUAAUUAGUUUCUAACAAAUUGCCAACAUUUUAAAAUAACAAUCUCUCUUAAAAGAUGAAUGUUUUUGGAGAUGCUUUUCAAGAAAAUGGACAUGGAAAGUACUUUCGUGGAGCAAACUGUUUCAUAUUCUGUAGUAUUUAAUCAGUAUCCUAACAUUCUAGAUAAAUGAUGGAAUCUUUCUACCUGUAUGUAUGCACACUUCCCAAGAUGUGAUUUUUCCAUUGGCACUCCCAAACAUUGACAUUGAAUAACUGCUAUGCUGCGACAAUAUGUUGGGAUAUUUUGUCCCUAAGCCUUGAACUUCUGAAAUCAGUUGUAUUCUUUCUAUUAGUCAGAAUAUUUGUCUUUACAUUCUUGGGAGAGGAAAUUAUAUAUCUUCCUAAUGCUCACAAGGAUAGAUUUAACUGGGAGAUUUUAUGUUGCAGCACUUUAAGAAUUACUUGUUUCUGUGUUAAUGCUAAAAAUAAAUUCUCAUUUGUCUUAUUUGGAGAAAAAAAAAUCAGUCCAGGUUCCAGUUCCUGUAGUUUAGCCUUAUACUUCCUCCCUAUUUUUCACUUCAGUUUUUCCCACAGUGGAGUCACAGUGCCCUUCAAGCUCAGUCUCAUCUGAGUUCCCAAGUCAGUCAAGCCAUGUCAUGGAGCCUGGAUCCAUAAUUCAGAGUCAGAAAUAUGGAGGUUCCCAGGCUAGGGGUCUAAUGGAAGCUGUUGAUGCCAACCUAUGCCACAGCCACAGCAACGCCAGAUCCGAGCCUUAUCUGUGACCUGCACCACAGCUCAUGGCAACACGGGAUCCUCAACCCAGUGAGCAAGGCCAGAGAUCGAACCCGCACCUCAUGGUUCCUAGUACGAUUGGUUUCCGCUGUGCCAAGAUGGGAACUCCAGAAGUGCUAGGAUUUAAGAAAGCUGCAGAAGAAGAUCAAGAGUCCACAAAUGAGGCUGGGGAGGCAGGGUAGGAGAGGUAGGGGAAACACAGAAUAGAGCGCUGUUGCUGAAGCCAACGGCAGAAUAUUUUAAAAAGGAGCAGUGACCAGUAAUAGGUCAAAUGCCACAGAGUUCAAAUCACAGAUGGACUGGAAAUUGUCCAUGGAAUUUUGGCAACCUUGAGGAUAUCUAGACUUGUUUGAAAGAGAUAGAAUUUGUAUAUAUGAUUACUUCACCAAUGAGUAGACAUUACACAAUUAAUAUUCAUGAAUAAUGAUGAGAAACGUGAAUAAUUGUUAAUAUGUUAUUGAAAUGGUUGCAUCAGCUAUGUGGAAUAAAUAUCACAUGGUGAUAAGUUAAUGGCAAUGUAUAAUUUACUGCAUCUGAGAAAAUAGCAGUCAUAUAUUGAUUCAUCUGAACUUUGCAUUUGACCCAGUAAAUUCAGAACCCCCUAGUGAUAUGAUACAAUUUGGAAAACAGGUGCUACUUUAUUAACAUAUGUGCCUAAUUAUAAUUAUUGCCAUAAAAUAUGUUUGAAAGAAGAAAGAAUUUUCCACAAGAGUUUGUAAUUUUUUUAUCAGAACACAUGCAACGGUUAUAGAUAUUUUGUUUGUUUUACUAAGGUGAUUUUUAAAUUUCGUUUAAGCAAUAAAAAUUGCAAUAAUGACUGUUCUUAAUGCUCUUACUGUGUAGAAAUAUUUACGUAGUCAUAUUAUGUCAAAUGAACUAUAGUAUGUAUUUUCCUCCCAAAGAACAAUAUGUAGAUAUCCUUCCCAAAUAAUGCCUUAUCAUUAAGUUUCCAACUGUUUUCCUUCACUCAGAGUUUUGGUUCUGAUAAAUAUUUCCCUUGCACUUGAAAAAGUGCUCUGGAUUGUAUCAACAUGUCAGUUACAAACCACUUCUUAUUUCUGAUUUUUCUUGGGGGAGGAUAGUGGAAUCAUAUAAACCCCAAAAAAUCAGAUCACCCAAGUCAACAAGAGGGGAUUAUUAGGGAUUCAAUGUUAUUGUGGCAAAUAUUUCCAGAGUCUGUCCGGAAUAUUCUUCCUCUCUACUUUCCAGCCCCAUUCUUCAUUCUUGAACUUGCAAAUCUUUAUUUAUAUUUUAAAACAAUACAACCAUUCUGUUUCUCUGUAGUGUCUGCCCUGUGUCACUGAGGUGGAGGUGUAUUGGUCGCCUCUUCACUAGUACAUUCAACACAUUGUUUUGUUGACAUCUAUUUGCAUAUUUGUCUGUUUCUCUAAACUGUGAGCACUUUGAGUGUCUUUUCAAAAUAUAUGGCACAUCUGCUAAAAGUAAAACAAAAAUCCAGCUUAAUUAAAUCUUUUGAUCUUAAUUGCUUUUGUUAGCCUGUGCAAUAAUACUUGUAAAUAGCAAGGAAUAAAACUGAAGUUAAAUCCGUGUAACAGAUGGACUGAGCUGUGUACAAGUUAAGGAUGCCAUUUAUGACCUUCAUGCUAAAUUUGAAGAACAAUCAACACUUAAUAUUUCUUUUCGUUAUUUCUUGGUAAUAUUUCUAGAAGUAGUUUUUAAUGCGUUUCUGUAUAUGACUUAGCAUGUGGAAAUGAAAAGGAGUUGAACUCAUUAUUAGCAUUUUUAAAUUUUGAUAGGUAUUUUUUGGAAUGAAAUGAGGCAAGAUAUUAGAAUCCCAUUUAAAACUCCUCUAAUACUCUUUAGCCUAUGACAGUUUAUCUGUCAUAUCACAUGUAGUUUUAUUUACAUAACAGUGUUUACUUGGUCCAGAAAUAACAUCAGGUGUUACUUCUACCCUGAUAGGUGUCAGGACUGACUGCAGAGAAUUCUUCCACUUGGAACCUUCAGGGAUAGUGCAGUCUAUCAUUGAUAAGGCAGGGUAUUUAUACCAUAUUGUUAUUGUCGUUGUUAAAGAUAAACAAAAAGUCAUUUGUAAAUGUGCUCAAGGUUCUAGAUGUGAGAGGGUUCUACAGGAAUUAUCUUUUAUCAGUAUUCAAUAAGCUUGAACUACACAGAAUUGCUAAGUGUUUGUUCCUCAGACUCCAUUUUCAGAGCGGGUAGUAGUAAUCUUAGCUGAUAUGCUGUAUGUUUUACAAACGAAUACUUACAGCAAACCAAGCCAAUGAUAGCUUUCUGUUAAGUCAAUCAGUGCUGUCUGUCUUCAAAAUAAAGCUUGAUGGGUCUGUUUUCAACAUCUGUGGUGAUUCAUAGCACACAUUCUGUUCCUUUAAGCCCUAUGAUUAGUAACAAGAGACUUUUCUAUUGUCAUGUAACAAUAUAGGAGUUUAUGUAAAUUCUGAAGCAUGAAAAAGAACAAACUUACAAUUUGUGUUUUUAAAGGCACCUUGGACACACUCACCAUUCAGCAUGGAUGAGGUUCAUGGAAAAGAUUGGAGAAAAACUGAAUCUGUUAAUCUUCUUAAGUCAAUGCCUAAGAUAUGUUUAGCAUAAGUACGCUAAACAGAUACUUUCUUUGAUGCUUUCCAGUAAGAUAGAUGAUAAGAUAUUUGAUUUUGAUUGAAAAACAGAAAUUUAAACUUGACACAGAGUAUGCUACUGAAGGUUGAAUUGAACUUAAAAAAAAGCUAUGAGAGUGUUGCCGACACUUUGUCCACCAGUGCUGAAUAGAAACGUGAGACAGAAUUUUAGGCGAAGAAGAAAAAGAUAGCUUUUAUUGCUUUGCCAGGCAAAGGAGGCCACAGCAGAGACUGUACCCUCCACUGGGAAGAACUGCAGAGAGUUUGUUAUAGUAAAAAGGAGAAGAAAGGUUUUCAGAUAGGAAUCAGGAUUGGGACAGACAUGCAUUCUUCUUUCUUUGGGGAAAUCUUGGUCAUCAAAGCUGAACUCAGGAGAUCUUGGCAUGAUCAUGACGGUGGUCUUCUGGGUUAUUGCCCAGAAUAACAGUACUUGUGGAAAGGGCAUAUUGAUCGGAGAUGAGAGCAGACGAGGAACGUUUCUGCAAAACGCCAUGUCCUCGUAAUCUUUCACCCACAGGCAGUUGCGCCCAGGGUGCCUAGUCUCUAGUUUACGGGUGAUUGUGUUUAGGGUGCAGUUACGUGGGGGAGGAGGACAAGGAAGGACUCUAAACUGUUCAGUUUUAAAGUAUUUAUUUCGAAAAGAAGCAUAAGGAACAUAGCUUUUCUCUUAGGUGUAUAAGAUCAUUAUUUUGUGCAUCAUUCUGUGCAUCCCUUGUGAAGGAACCAGUGUCCUGCCCCAAGGCUAUGCUGUUGUUUUUUGAUUCUUCCUCCCUUGUCUUUGCAUUCCCCUCCUUCCCUGAUCAGCAACUGUCUGAACCUGUCCCUUGGAACUCAGGGAAGGCUGCCAUGGCUGAAUGUGGCACAUUUCCCAAGAACUCAAGAAGUGGAGGACACAGAAAGCCUUUUGUGCCCAGGAGCUCCACAGAGCCCUGCUAGGUUACAAGAGGAUAUAGUAAAUGAUUCCUACAUUAGCAAGGAGGAGGAACCUCUGUGUCAGACCUGGUGAGAUGCUUCCUUCUUAGGUGCCAGUGAUGGGGAGACCUGGCUUCCAAGUAAACUCCUUGUUUGGGGUGAAGGAUGUAAAUCAGAGUCAGGGAUUCAGGGCACCUCCUGAAUUUGGUGCCCAAAGCAGUUCCUCACAAAGCUUUUAAAGUCCUAGAUGAAAAAACCAUGUAUCUUAUGUGGAGAAAUUAAUGUUAAGAACCAUUCUUUAUACUGUGAAUAUGAUCUUUUUAGUAGUUUGCAAUAUCUAUGGUUUCUUUUAUGCAAUCAGAGUCAUAGCAGAUGCUAGGGUGCUUUGUGUCUAGUUUCUUUCUCCUCCUCCUUCUCCACUUUUUUUUUCUUUCCUCUUUCUCCUUGUUUCAAUUUGUCUGCUUUCUAUGUCCUAACCUGGCAAAAUAAAAAAAAUUUACACUCAUAUCAGGACAUAACCUUGAAUGAAUUAUUUACCUUCUCAGAGCCUGAGUGAGAUCACUGGCAAAUUUGGACCAUAGUGGCACUCAUUUAUAGCAGAGACACAUAUUGAGUUUAUUCAUAUCAGAACUGACUCUGUCUUCUUCCCAACCCACACCGUUAACUUAAUCAUGUCUUCAAACCUAUGUUCUCUUGUAAGGUAACAAACUCACAGGUUCUAGGGAUUAGGGCAUGGACAUCUUUGGGGAGCUGUUAUUCAGCUUACUACACUCAGGAUUAUCUUGCACUCAGAUGUCUCAAAAAUAAAAUUGAGUCAUAUUUAGGAUAGAAAAACACAUUUAGGGUAACAAUAAAGACUAAACAUGAACAUUCUCUGAAAUAUAUGUAAUGUCACACAGAUGAGUCAAAGAACAUACCCCCUUGUGUCCCCUCUUACAUGUUGGAUGUAUGCAAGGCAAAUAUCUAGGGCUUGCCCCAAAAUAACAUGUGAUGCAGUUUUUUUUAAUAUAAGAUCUUUACUAACUUGAUACUUCUGUUGAACAAAUUGGUUAGUCUUUACACACUGUUAAAGUAAUACUUCUUAUGUCUCUGUACUUAAUGUACUUUAGGGUAAAAUCAUUAUACUGAAAAGCAAGAAGUACAUCAAAAAGUAGUAUCCCUUUCCAAGUACUGUUUUGGCAAAAUAUGUAAACUGAACAGUUGUUAAGGUAUAGUCUCUAUUAAUUGGGACGUUUAUGUUAACUAUCCCAAAAUGUUAUAUUUAGUGCAGGAGCAAUCCAAAUACUCUUGGGAGAAACCAUACUGAUACUCACAUCGAGCAUUUUAAAGUACUUAAAUAUAUUUUCAAAUCACUGUUGCAUCUGUGAUCUCCAUUUACGCCUACAUCAUCUUGAAGAGUUUUAGAGACGAAUCCUAGAGAUGAAAGCCUUUUUCUCCACAAAUCAGUUCCUUUCCAACCCAUAUGACUUUCUUAGCAAAAACUAAUCUCAGAGGCCCUUCUCACCAGUCCUGGCUGACUAUGCUCUAUUUUUCAUGACUCCAUCCCUUCCUGUUCUUUACUUAUAACUGGUGAGACCAAAGGGAGAAACAUGACCUAAGUUGGACAAUUAAUUCUAUUUUCUCUCUCGGGAACUUGAAGUUUGGAAGGACUUGUUCAUUUAGCUGUGGAUAUGAGAUUUGUAAAGAUAGAUGAAUGAGAAUGGUCAUAUCUGUGCCAUGUGCUUGUAAAUAAACUUGUGGAACCGAGAAGGAGGGAGAAAGAAAAAAAAUCAGACCGGAAAGAAGCCAAAAUGAGACAUUUGUCUAUAGAGAGAAAAGCGGAAAGUAAAUGCCUUGGUUCCUAAGGGUUUUACUUCCUGGUUCUAGUUUCUCAGUUCUUGCUGCAUUUCACUCCAUUGGGUUCUGUGAGGUACCGUGUAGUCUUCCAAUAAAUUUAUUUAUUUUGUAUGAAGAUUCAAGUUAUUUGCAUUCUGCCAGCUCCGGACUGCUAUACAAGGGAAAUCUAAAGCAUGGACAGGUCAAGGAUUUGGAAUGUACAAAAGCAAGUUAUCAGAAGAGCUAGGAGUGAACCAGGCUCGAGGGUUCUGUCUUUGAAUUCCAUGCCAAGGAAUCAGUGGGCAAAACCAGGGCCAGGGAAAACUAAUCACUCUGAGCAGCCAUCAGAACACUUACCUAAGGGCUCUAGGUUUCCUUGAGAAUUCUGUGAGUGGUCUUUAGUUUUCUAUAAACAUUUUCUCAUGUUAGUAUUUGGUACUUGAGGUUUUCAUGUUUUUGCUUCCCGAGCCAAAGUCUCUUGUGGAAGUUAAAUUUGUAAUCAGACGUGGAGAUGGCUUCCCUACCUUAAGUGUUUAAAGUGCAUACAUUCCUAGAAUUAGCAAAUUGGGCAAAUGAAUGUCAUAAAUUUUAACAUCACUACCAUAACAUAAAAGUUGUACUGGUAUAAAUGCCAUAUAAGUCUGUUGAUGUACCAUAAAUUCUGGAGGUUUAAGUACACUAAAAGUAAUUUAUUUUCAUUUAUGAAACAGUUUUCUUUUCUUUAAUAUGCAUCCCUGAGGUUUUUCCAUAUUAAAAUGAAUAUUAAAGCAAAGCAAAGUUCAAUUCUAUUUUCCUGCCAAUUAGCUAUGAAAAUAAACUCUACUGUAUCUAAUUAAAAAAAUAUGAUUACCAUUUGAACUACUAUUUUGAAAAUUUAAAAGUGGUUUUGAAAAUAAAACUGUAAUUAAAAUCUGACAAAUAGUUACCCAGAACAAUAAUUUAUUCAAAAGUAAUUUUUAGGAUUAACUUGAAACUUUUUUUUUUUUAAUGGCCACGCCCAAACACAUGGAAUUUUCCAGGCUAGGGACUGAAUCUGAGCUGCAACUAUAACCUACCCCAAAGCUGUGGCAGUGCCCAAGCCACUGUGCUGGGCCAGGGAUCAAACCUGCACCUCUGCAGGAAUGAGCCCCAGCAGCUGGAUUCUUAAUCCACCCACUGUCCACAGCAGGAACUCUGAAACUUGUUUUUAAAAGCGAAAAUUAGGGUCAUUCAUUAAGCGAAGUUUGAUCAUUUUUUUUUUUCUAGAAUUAGAAGUUUAAAAAAUUAUUUAUUUUCACUUUUUUGCAAUUGUCGGUUGAGUUAGGCUGGCUCUUCAUUCAGAAUAAUACUCUUUUUCAAUUGCAUAACAGAUCUGUCUUAUUCAUUCAUGGAACUAAAGAUACACAUGUGCCCACUCCCACUCGCCUCCCACAUACAUGUAUAGAUCAAUGUAAAGGUAUAUAUAACUAUAUUUUUAAUGAAAUUCAAACAUAAUAUGAUUUGACAUUAAAAUGUUUUUAAGUAUUGAGAGAAUUUUUAUGUCUUCUGUCUUGCUUUCAAAUCAUUUUACAAAAUAACAUCUAAUGAGGUUUUUUUUUUUUUACUGUAAUAUAGUGAAGUUUUACGAGGAAAAAUAUUUCACAUAAUUUUAUUUCUUAGGUAAGCCUAUGACAUGGAAAAGAAAAGCAAUUUAAAUGUAUGGCCCAAACCUUUGUACACAGUUCAGAAAGCAUUGAUUUAUUUAAAACACAAAAGAAGAUUUGGACCUAGCCAUGGUUUGCCAAAGUAUAACUAACAGAGAUAGAAACAAAACCUACAUAUGAGUGUAAAAGAAGAUGAAAAAAAAAAAAAA
rnacentral:lncRNA from 1 species